ACGUCCUCGAAUGUCUCACUGCACCCCUGAAGAAGUUUUAAAAGCAUUUGCAUGCUGGCAUUAAUUCUGGGAGGAAACACAGGGCCCAUCACUGUGCCUGGAUUAAUCACCACCACAUCCAAUCCUUUCUCCUUAGCAAAAUCCCAAGCAGCCUUUUCUGCUAGAGUUUUUGAAAUUGAAUACCACAGCCCCUUUUUCUUGCAGUAAUCAAUAUCGGUCCAA
rnacentral:misc_RNA from 1 species